rnacentral:rRNA from 1 species
GACGGACCGUACGAACGUUAUUCGGAAUUACUGGGCUUAAAGGGUGCGUAGGCGGCUCAGAAAGUUGAAUGUGAAAGCCCUCGGCUUAACCGAGGAAUUGCAUCCAAAACUACUGGCUUGAGUGAGACAGAGGUGAGCGGAACUCACGGUGGAGCGGUGAAAUGCGUUGAUAUCGUGAGGAACACCGGUGGCGAAAGCGGCUCACUGGGGUCUUUGCUGACGCUGAGGCACGAAAGCUAGGGUAGCGAACGGG